rnacentral:rRNA from 1 species
GACGAACGCUGGCGGCGUGCUUAACACAUGCAAGUCGAACGGAAAGGCCCUGCUUUUGUGGGGUGCUCGAGUGGCGAACGGGUGAGUAACACGUGUGUAACCUGCCCUUGACUUUGGGAAAACUUCAGGAAACUGGGGCUAAUACCGGAUAGGAGCUCCUGCUGCAUGGUGGGGGUUGGAAAGUUUCGGCGGUUGGGGAUGGACUCGCGGCGUAUCAGCUUGUUGGUGGGGUAGUGGCUUACCAAGGCUUUGACGGGUAGCCGGCCUGAGAGGGUGACCGGCCACAUUGGGACUGAGAUACGGCCCAGACUCCUACGGGAGGCAGCAGUGGGGAAUAUUGCACAAUGGGCGGAAGCCUGAUGCAGCAACGCCGCGUGCGGGAUGACGGCCUUCGGGUUGUAAACCGCUUUCGCCUGUGACGAAGCGUGAGUGACGGUAAUGGGUAAAGAAGCACCGGCUAACUACGUG